rnacentral:ncRNA from 1 species
GGCCGGGUAGCGCGCAGCCAUACAAGACUCCGUUCACGGAGGAAAACUGCGGGCCGUCUGUGAGCGGUGUUGAAGUGCCUGGCCACCCUCUC